rnacentral:rRNA from 1 species
UACGUAGGGGGCAAGCGUUGUCCGGAAUCAUUGGGCGUAAAGCGCGUGUAGGCGGCUCGGUAAGUCCGCUCUGAAAGUCCAAGGCUCAACCUUGGGAUGCGGGUGGAUACUGCCGGGCUCGAGUCCGGAAGAGGCGAGUGGAAUUCCUGGUGUAGCGGUGAAAUGCGUAGAUAUCUGGAGGAACACCGGUGGCGAAGGCGGCAUCCUGGACCGGUAUUGACGCUGAUGCGCGAAAGCCAGGGGAGCAAACGGG